GUCAUUGUCCUGGAUAUAAUAUCCGCCGUUGGAUUCUCUCCAUAAAAGGACAGCCUAAACUGCAGCUGUCUCUGGAACUCCUCUUGCUCAGAUCCAUCUGCUGAACUCCGCUGCUCAGGGAUCGCCCUGUCCUCAUUCUGGUAUUCUGCCAUCACCUGUGCAAUGAGGGUUGCUUUCCUUUUGUUGUUUGCUGCAAUACCUUUUGCUUCUAGGAGAUCUUUUAGCGUGGAUC